AACAUUCAAAACAAAGUUACACUGUAGUUAAAGUACUGCGUGAGAAAUGCAAAGCGAAUUAUAUGCAAUUAUCUAUUAACGAACGAAACGAAUAAUACUAAACACUACAAUUCAAAAUUAUAAUUAGGCUAAUCUAACACUCCAACCAAUAAUAAGGAACAAAGUUAAAAACUAUUUACAUGCCCUGAUAAACUAAAGUACAAGUGCUAAUGCAAAAUGACAGUGUCAAGAAAUCAAACGCAUUUAAAUGUCAAGGUUUCUGGCCAGAAUCACCAAAAUGUUCAAUUUUUCUGGAUUUUACAAACUGCGGAGUGGGGUAGCAACACUACUGGCAGUGCUGAACACGCGUUCAGAUGGAGCGCUGGUAGCACAAAUACAUAAAUAUUUACGUGCAAGCCCGAGGGGUUGAUUUACCCCUUGCCGACUAACCCAGAGUUUUUGGUUCCACAGCAGCGGUUAUGCAUUAGUUCAAUCAACUCGGGGUUGGUUAACACAGGGUUGUGCGCGUCCACGCCAAACCUAAAAAGACGUGAUGUAUGGAUCAUCGAAACACUGAUCGAAAUGGCGAAACGGGCCGCUUAUUUCAAUGAAAUGGAACUUCAGGUUCUCCUGGAGAGCUAUGACGAGGAGAAGGACAUUAUCACAAGAAAAGGGAACGCUAAAGCCUCUGCAACCCGGAGAACCAAAGCCUGGCAGUGGAUCGCUGACCGCGUAAAUGCGUUAGUUACACGUCAAAAGCAUGAUCCUUAAUAUUUGAGCCAUGAAUAUAUAAAUAUCCCAGUUAAGCAUUCUUAAAGAUCCUACCACAUAACCCCUUCUAAAAAAAUAUGUACUCCGAUGGCUUCCAAGCGGUCAGCGGAUCAAGUAUAAAAAUGAAGUAUAAAAAACAUACAAACUGGUAAGCUUUUCCCACCAUCGUAUUGGUAUAAAUUUAAGUAAGCCAUUUUUUUAAGCCAAUCGUGAAAAGGCCGACAGUCGGCAGACUUGAUCUGGCCCUCAAAUUGUCUUGACCCCGGUGGAGGAGCUGUUAAUAAACAUAAAUUCAGGGCGCCCUGGCAUGGAGGGGGUACCUGGAGGUACCUACCUCCUCAGAGAGUCAGGGGCCAUACCCCACUGGUUGUUGUGUUUUUGUGUUUUCUUGUAUUUUAGAUUUUUUUUUUGCCUUCAAAGUAACACAUGCAAACCAUGGGCUUGCCACAGCGCAUACUAUUCCAAAUGUUUCUUUUUUUGGUAACUGGGUAGAAAACCUAAAAGUGACAAUUCAUCAACUUCACAGAUCAAGAUGGAUUAGUGCGUGUAACGAUCAAACAUUCUCCAGUGGAUGCAAGUCCGUUAGGACUAUUUUAUACUUUGUGUUGUAAGUGCCUCUCGGCAUAGUACUCAGACAAUAUUGCUCUUUGUAUGAUAGGAGGCCGAUACAAAUCUUGGAUGGGUCAUCUGAAAGGACUGAGAUGUUCUCAGCAUCUCCAACAUUAUAGCCUAGAUAAAACGACCAUUUCCAAAAAACAGAGGGCUACGCAAAUAGUCUGGAGUGAACUGAGGCAGGUCCUCGAUUGGUAGUGUUGGCUAUGUAAGGCUAUUUAAAUGUAUUUAAGAUUUGCACGAGAAUCUAUAGGCCUAUCUCUCCACUCCAGCAAAAAGUCAUUUGAUAUGCCAAGAUGUCCAGCCGUGGUCUUAUCAAUCGCUCCCGGUGGAUUGUACGUAUAAUUUGCGCUCCGAUAUCAGCAGUUCUCUCAUCAAAAGGGCAUGCCAUUGUGAACACAUGAAAUCUGCGGUGAACGCAGGUUUAAAUACCCAAAACCGGCUCUAGUUUCAAACUUAACCUGCGUGAAACCUGCUCCGACCAGGUUUGAUUCAGAGCAUAUGUUUCUAUAGCGACUAACAUACCGUGAUCCUUUUGGAACGGAAAACCUAGGGUUACAGCAAACCCUGGGUUAACUUACCCGGUUAUGUGAUAAAACCGGCUUUGUGGAACACCCCACUGGCCAUGAGCGGAAACCGUCCCUGGUUAUUUAGAGUGGCGGCUGUAGCUGAUCUUUUCCCAAGAAGGCUGCCAAGUGAGCUUUUCUUCUUCUUGGGUGCGGUGCCAGCACCGGAUUCCUCUUCCUCUCUCACUUGUGCGGGCCGUGGUACAAUAUCCAUACUAUCCGUAUUUACUAGCCUAAGUUUGAGUACGUAGGGCGUUCCGAUUCAGAUCGGGCGAAAAUAAGUGUACUGA